ACUGGGCUCCCGGAAGGCCUUACAGGGAUUCCGUCACUCCGGAGAGCCGCAGGGAACCGCUCCUUCCCACCACAAGUGUUUCUGAGCCCGAGCAAGUGCAGAUGCCUCCCUCAGUGUGCUGAAGAACAGAGCGGCCCUUGUGGCUGGGUGGUCAGCCGCGGGAGAGGUGCCGGCGCCGGGGGCAAGCUCAGCCGGACUGCGGACUGCGGUCUGCGAGCCUUGCUGCUGUUCCUUUGUGCAGCCUGUUGUUCCUUUCGGGCUGUGAGGCGUCCUGUCCCUCUUCGUACCCCUGCGGGAGAGGGGCCUAGGUGGAUCCGAGCGCUUGGCAUAGCAUUUUGCAAACUUUGGCGGUUCUUGGAGUCAGCUUGCUUUCAUCUUACUGUUUUGUUUGUACCUCCCAAGGGACAACACUCCGAUUGUCUGGAAAGAGGAAGGUCAGGGACAGAAAAGUAAAACCCAGGAGCAGCCUGUCCUGUCUGCCUGGGCUUCCAAGGAAUGAUUGUCUGUGAGUAAACUUGUCUGUGGAGCCCCUGAGCAAAUUCUCCCAGUGGCAGGUGCUGGGAUUACAGGCACAUGCCACCACGCCUGGCUUAUUUAGUGCCUUUAAGCCACAUCCUGGCUUAUUUAGGAUCUAACCCUGGGCCUCAUGGAUGCUAGAUAAGCACCGCCUCCCCUGCCUCAAAUGGCUUCUCCUAAAAGAAGGCCCAGAGUCAGCAGCAGAUCUUGUAAAAGGAGAGGAAGGCCUCCCCCAACCCCCUGCUGAACCCGAGCUUUGCGAUUUCAAAGUGCUGAGUCACCUAGUCUUCUCAGGGUCAGACACUGUCACCCAGGAAAAGUCCUGCAGAGCACCACAGCGGGAGCACCGAGCUGGUCUGUUGCUAUUUGAAUGACAAGACUGGAGCACCACAGCGGGAGCACCCAGCUGGUCUGUUGCUAUUUGAAUGACAAGACUGGAGAAGAGACAGUGCAUAUUUAUGCGCUAACUUAUUUUUACUCUUAAGCUGGUGUUUAAGAGACUUGUGACCACAGAAACCGGGGCCUUCUGGUUGGUAAUUGUGUUGAACAGUGUUUUCUUCCCGUGGCUGGAGAAGACUCAGUAGUUAAGAAUCAGAUGCUCUUGCAGAACACCAAGGAUCAAUUCCUAGCACACACAUGACAAGUGUAGAUCCAGGUCCAGAGGGCCUGGUGUGAAGUCUUUUGGCACUAGGCAUACAUAUGUGCACAUGCUAACGUGCAUGGGACACACCCUUGUACUGCUCCUAUGAAAUGAAUAUGAAUGUCAGUGCGCUGCCUUAUGGUGUUUACAGGGGAAGAUACUCCAUUAUUAUUAUUUUAAUCGUUUGAUUCUCAACUUAGUUUUAAAAAACUAGUAAGGAAAAAAAAUACAAGAAUAAACUAGA